UGCAGUCGAGCGGCAGCGGGAAAGUAGCUUGCUACUUUUGCCGGCGAGCGGCGGACGGGUGAGUAAUGCCUGGGAAAUUGCCCAGUCGAGGGGGAUAACAGUUGGAAACGACUGCUAAUACCGCAUACGCCCUACGGGGGAAAGCAGGGGACCUUCGGGCCUUGCGCGAUUGGAUAUGCCCAGGUGGGAUUAGCUAGUUGGUGAGGUAAUGGCUCACCAAGGCGACGAUCCCUAGCUGGUCUGAGAGGAUGAUCAGCCACACUGGAACUGAGACACGGUCCAGACUCCUACGGGAGGCAGCAGUGGGGAAUAUUGCACAAUGGGGGAAACCCUGAUGCAGCCAUGCCGCGUGUGUGAAGAAGGCCUUCGGGUUGUAAAGCACUUUCAGCGAGGAGGAAAGGUUGAUGCCUAAUACGUAUCAACUGUGACGUUACUCGCAGAAGAAGCACCGGCUAACUCCGUGCCAGCAGCCGNNGUAAUAC
rnacentral:rRNA from 1 species